AACGAACGCUGGCGGCAGGCCUAACACAUGCAAGUCGAGCGAGGACUUCGGUCCUAGCGGCGGACGGGUGAGUAACGCGUGGGAACGUGCCCUUUGCUUCGGAAUAGCCCUGGGAAACUGGGAGUAAUACCGGAUGAGCCCUUUGGGGGAAAGAUUUAUCGGCGAAGGAUCGGCCCGCGUUGGAUUAGGUAGUUGGUGGGGUAAUGGCCUACCAAGCCGACGAUCCAUAGCUGGUUUGAGAGGAUGAUCAGCCACACUGGGACUGAGACACGGCCCAGACUCCUACGGGAGGCAGCAGUGGGGAAUCUUAGACAAUGGGGGAAACCCUGAUCUAGCCAUGCCGCGUGAGCGAUGAAGGCCUUAGGGUCGUAAAGCUCUUUCAGCUGGGAAGAUAAUGACGGUACCAGCAGAAGAAGCCCCGGCUAACUCCGUG
rnacentral:rRNA from 1 species